rnacentral:misc_RNA from 1 species
CGUCCUUCAUGUGCCAAAAGCUGUUCUAAAUUUCCUCCUUGGCGCUUUGCAUCAUCGAUAGCCCUCAGUUCCUCUCUUCUCUUCCAGGUAAAGGGAAAUGCUUGGGAGCCAUAAUCCUCUAUCAACCCAAUCAGAUCUUCUUCAAUCGAUAUUUCAUCUGAAGCCAAUGAAACAAAUGAUGGAAUGCGAUUGAUGCCAUAGAUUUCACUCAAUUUUCUGUUCAAUUCCACGUCAAAUGGAACUGCAAGCCACGGUAUGCACUUGAAGUGUUCC